CCUGCAUUAACGGGGACCACUCGUUGGUGCCACGCAUCCGAGACGGGGGCGAGGGCCGGCGGGCGCCAGAGCACAAAGGAACCGCAGCCUAAAAGGAUAAAAGGUUAAGCACCAACAGUGGCCUAGCUGGUCCCAACCCAAUCCAAUCCAAUCUUCAGCCCACACACACCAAAUAACACACGGUUGACCACUAUACUAAGCUUCCUAUAUACUAUACUAUACUAUAUACUAUAGGUGAUGGUGAUAGAUAUUAUGAAGCGUGGAUAAAGAAAACAAAGACGUGGCCACCCCCGGGGGAAAAAGUCAAACCGAGAUCGCUAGUCAGAUACUCGGUAGGGUCCAACCGAUCAAAUUUUCCGGAUAGGGAUUAUUAUUAUACUAUUAGAAAGAACUGCUCCUCAAAAAUACUAGCUAUUUGGGACUUACGGAGAAGCCCAAUCUCUACAGUGGGCUUUGAACGGGGCCGCCACAUGGUCUGUUCAUUUCCCUUUUGCUUCAGCUCUUCUGGGACCGUGGGGACAUCAAACGGGCUUCGUUGUUAGCGGAGCGGCCUACCGAAAAGCCCAGGAAGGCCUAACGCGGGUCACUCUUCUCUAUCUCUUCCUCGCGAGUCGCGAGCAGCGCCGGGGUCCCAGGGACUCUUCGCUUUCUCACCGCCGUGUCCUCGGCGAUUAAUUCCCUCCGGCGAGUUUCUCCCUCCCGCUCAUCAUCUUCUUCAUGCUAGCUAGGAUUUCGCCUCUUGGGUUUGGGACGCCGCACGGUCGAUGUUCGCCGCGGCUCCGCCCACGGACGCCUCCUCCUCUUUCGGGACGAGUGGGGGCCGGUAAGAAUCCCAUCCUCCCACCCCAUCCUUGUCGGUUUCGCUUAUUCGAUCGCGAGGUGCAUCGAUUUGAUGUGUUCGCCGGAGGAGAAGAGAAUCUCCUCAUAAAUUUAGCGGGCUAGGAUAUGUGCAUCGAUAUGGUCAUAUAAUAAUUAGCAUAAUCUUUGAAUCGGUGAACAAGACAGAGGAGAGGAUCUACUGAAUUAAUUUGGACCGCACGAAGCUCCUCUGUCUCAAGGGAGGCAGCAAGAGCUGAAUUCGGCAGGCCGUAAGCAGUGGUUCAACCAUAUGCUGGAGGAAGCAGAUCGAAAAUUGAGGAACUGCUCGCGAAAAUCAGGUGGAAAGUCUGAGAGAGCCCAUGGGUGCGUGGUAGGAUAAACAACACAAAUGUGUGGGAGAGCUCUUCCUGACAUUCAUUUGGGUUGAUCCUCACUGAUUGAUCCCAUCUUCAGAUAUUGCUUAAAAUUUUGUAACACUGUUGAAGGUAUACAUAAAAGACUCUGUCAGAUCUGCCGUGCUUUGCCCUUUAUAUCAUAUCUAAGGUUGCUACUUAAUAAUGUACCUCUAUUCAGAGCGUUUCUCGUAUUCAAUCCGCAUGAAUUACAUCCCUAAUUUCAAAAUUUAGCUGAAUUUUGCUCAUUUGAUUACCUGAUUUCAGCAGAUCGUGGCUCAAAGAUUCAAUUAUCGUGAUGAUCAAAAUUCCCAGCUAAUCGGUUGUGACACUUAAGGCUGGAUUGGUAGUGCGGAACCUCAGUUCCAAACUCGCCUUGCAAUGGAUCCCGGGUUGCUUGGAUCUUUGGGGGUUAAGAGAGCUUCCAAGCUCCUUUACCCAGGAUAAAAACAGGAAAAAAAAAACUAGUCAUCGCUAGUUUGAAGGGAAUCAAACUUUUAAUCGAUUCGUAGCCAAAUAAUACUCAUACUCAAAGAAUUCAAGUUAAAAGAUACUAAGCGGCAAAGGGUUUGGUGGUAAAGGACUUAUUAAUGUUUGGUACCUGAGGUCUUGAUUUCGAAUUAGAAUCUUGAAUCCUAAUUGAUUCACAUUUUCAGUUAAAUUUAUUUCUAAAUAAAGCAAAUAGCAUGCUACCUAUCUUUCUCUCUAAAAAAAAAAAAAGUAUUAAGCAUAAAUA
rnacentral:lncRNA from 1 species